rnacentral:lncRNA from 1 species
GAAGAAGUUAGGUGAACUUCUUUAUAAAUGAAAGUUAUUUCAUAAAGCUAUGUAGCUUCUUAUUUUAAAUAGUUUAUGUCUAUUGUGCGUUUGUAUUUAUGAGCUCUGAUGUUUAAAGGCUUUAUUCAGGUGAUCAGGAAUAUGGUGGAUUACAUAUAGCUCAACCUCCAACUGGGAAAAUUGUGAACGAACUUUUCAAAGAGGCAAGGGAACAUGGGGCUGUCCCUCUAAAUGAAGCCACAAGAUCUUCAAGUGAUGACAAAGCUAAGAUUUUACUGAGGCUGUGGAGCAAUGGUUUCAGUUUAGAUGAUGGAGAACUGAGGCCUUACAGCGACCCAACAAAUGCUCAAUUUUUGGAGUCCGUUAAGAGAGG